rnacentral:rRNA from 1 species
ACACUCCUACGGGAGGCAGCAGUUGGGAAUUUUGGACAAUGGGCGAAAGCCUGAUCCAGCCAUGCCGCGUGCAGGAUGAAGGCCUUCGGGUUGUAAACUGCUUUUGUACGGAACGAAACGGCCUUUUCUAAUAAAGAGGGCUAAUGACGGUACCGUAAGAAUAAGCACCGGCUAACUACGUGCCAGCAGCCGCGGUAAUACGUAGGGUGCAAGCGUUAAUCGGAAUUACUGGGCGUAAAGCGUGCGCAGGCGGUUAUGUAAGACAGUUGUGAAAUCCCCGGGCUCAACCUGGGAACUGCAUCUGUGACUGCAUAGCUAGAGUACGGUAGAGGGGGAUGGAAUUCCGCGUGUAGCAGUGAAAUGCGUAGAUAUGCGGAGGAACACCGAUGGCGAAGGCAAUCCCCUGGACCUGUACUGACGCUCAUGCACGAAAGCGUGGGGAGCAAACAGGAUUAGAAACCCGAGUAGUCC